CUGCAUCCCCUCCCUCAUCCCUCAGUUUCUCCUUUAUUUGAGUUUUUUAUUUUUUUUAAUCACUCUUCGUCUUCCUCUUCACUCCUCCAUGUCCUCAACACCACCCCCCACUAUGCCAUGUGUCACCACUGCCGGGAAGAAAGAAAAAUGCUGCCCUCGACGAGUGAAAGGAGAAGACGAAGUCAGAAGAAGAGACGAUAGCGAAGGCUGGAGUGUGUUCAUUGAUGCUUCAAUCCGUGAUGAGCCAGACUCGGCUUUGAUGGAAUAUCCCGGGCGGCAGAGAAGAGACGGAAAGAGGGAGAAGAGGGAAAAGAAGAAGCAGAGGAGAAGUGGGAAAGAAGAUUAGCAAGACUGAGAAAACGGGACGGCCAGUGAUCGCCUGGAGAGGUGCUUAGCUCCAUCCAGUCCAAUCUCAUUGUCCUCACACACACACCUCGCUGCUGACUGUGUGUGUGUGUGUGUGUGUGCGUGGGCUUUGGUGUGCAUGUGUCCGGGGGAGGACGGUGGUGAAGCCGGUCGUUUCCACGCCACAGCUCGCCGGAGGUCCGGGUCCUGCUCUGAGGUGGAUGCAGUCCUUCAGAUAGGCCAUGCCCUUCACCUGUGCCUGCUUCUGUGGCCUGAACGGCUUCUGUCGCAGACGGAGGAAGAAAAAACAGGAUCAAGUGGUGGAAGAGGAGGGUGAGGAGGAAGAACAAGCGAGGGAUGAGGAAACAGAGGUUUGACAGCUGGGCUGUCGGCUGAACUCUCCCCUCCUUCACCAGGGUGUUCUCCUUUAAGAGACAGAACAGUUUGACCUGGGUUGCAGCU